rnacentral:rRNA from 1 species
AAAUCAUGAGCAGACCAACAGGGAUUGCCUCAGUAACGGCGAGUGAAGCGGCAAAAGCUCAAAUUUGAAAUCUGGCUCUUUUAGGGUCCGAGUUGUAAUUUGUAGAAGAUGUUUCGGGUGUGGCUCCGGUUUAAGUUCUUUGGAAUAUUACAUCAUAGAGGGUGAGAAUCCCGUAUGUGACCGGCAGCCUUCGCCUAUGUGAAACUCUUUCGACGAGUCGAGUUGUUUGGGAAUGCAGCUCAAAAUGGGAGGUAUAUUUCUUCUAAAGCUAAAUAUUGGCCAGAGACCGAUAGCGCACAAGUAGAGUGAUCGAAAGAUGAAAAGCACUUUGGAAAGAGAGUUAAACAGUACGUGAAAUUGUUGAAAGGGAAGCGCUUGCAACCAGACUUGCACGCAGUUGAUCAUCCGGUGUUCUCACCGGGGCACUCUGCUGCGUUCAGGCCAGCAUCGGUUUUGGUGGUUGGAUAAAGGCCUUGGGAAUGUGGCUUCCUUCGGGGAGUGUUAUAGCCCUCGGUGCAAUGCAGCCUACCGGGACCGAGGACCGCGCUUCGGCUAGGAUGCUGGCGUAAUGGUUGUAAGCGACCCGUCUUGAAACACGGACCAAGGAGUCUAACAUCUAUGCGAGUGUUUGGGUGUUAAACCCAUACGCGUAAUGAAAGUGAACGGAGGUGAGAACCCUUAAGGGUGCAUCAUCGACCGGUCCUGAUGUCUUCGGAUGGAUCUGAGUAAGAGCAUAGCUGUUGGGACCCGAAAGAUGGUGAACUAUGCGUGAAUAGGGUGAAGCCAGAGGAAACUCUGGUGGAGGCUCGCAGCGGUUCUGACGUGCAAAUCGAUCGUCAAAUUUGCGCAUAGGGGCGAAAGACUUAUCGAACCAUUAAGGAA